AGAAACUGGAGCCUGUUCAUGAGUCUCUUUCUUGCCUGUUUGUUUCUUUGCUAAUUCUCCAGUUUUGUUGUCAUGUGAAAAUUUGAUCAAGAUUGAAUUUACACCAGUCACAGAAGAGGAUGGCACCAAGUGACCUGGAGAGAUUAGAUCAGUGGGGGCUGCUGGAAAUCAUGAGGGAAUUGCUCCUAACAGCUGGAGACCAGACAGAAGCAGAAUUGAUCAAUUAACAGUGUUUCCACCAUCCGGUGGCUGGGCUUGCGGUGUGUGCCCAGACUUGAAUCAGCAGCACUAUCAGGCUUGCUGUGGGAUGAGACAAAGUGACAUGCACUUGGUCUCUCUGCCAAAGGAAGAGAGCUCUGUGUAGCUCGAAAGCUUGUCUCUCUCAACAAAAGAAGUUGGUCUGGUAAAAGCUAUUACCUCCCCCACCGUGUCUAAUAUCCUGAGACUGACACA